rnacentral:rRNA from 1 species
UACGUAGGGUGCAAGCGUUGUCCGGAAUUAUUGGGCGUAAAGAGCUUGUAGGCGGUUUGUCGCGUCUGCCUGUGAAAUUUCGGGGCUCAACCCCCGAACUUGCAGUGGGUACGGGGCAGACUAGAGUGUGGUAGGGGAGACUGGAAUUCCUGGUGUAGCGGUGAAAUGCGCAGAUAUCAGGAGGAACACCGAUGGCGAAGGCAGGUCUCUGGGCCAUAACUGACGCUGAGAAGCGAAAGCAUGGGGAGCGAAACAGG